rnacentral:rRNA from 1 species
UAUACAUGUAUUAAAUCAUGAAUAUAGUAAUUUUGAAUAAUUUGAAGAUAAUGUUAAUUUAGGAGGAAGUACUAAUAAAAGAUUUUAGUUAAGCAAUUUAUUUAAAAUAACAUUGGGUAAGAGCGAUUGAGUAUUCGACGUGGAACUAGAUUAUAUGAAUUUUUAAAGAUUAAAGUUAUUAAGCAAGAUAUUUUUAAUAGAUUAUUACUGCCAUAUGUUUGUAUGUUUUUAAUCAUUCUAUAAUGCACAUCAUAGUAAAUACUUUGUCCAAGGAGAUUGAUCUGAUUUUAUGGCGGUUUAAGAAAUUUAAAAUUCUUGUAUGGAUAAUUAUAAGACCGGAAAUAUUAAAACAAACUCAUAUUAU